GAUGCAGCUACUUAGCCUCUCUUGUCUCUUUUCUAGUCUGCUUUUUGUAUAUAAAGGUAAUUUUACAUUUUUGACACGAUAAUAGACAUGCUAGAUAGAAUUAUAAGUAAGUGUUUUGUUUUCAAUAUCGUUUGUUAGAUUACGUGCAAAAAGUCUCAAUACAAGUAGACAAAAGAUAUAACAGAUAUAUUCAACAGCGUUUUUCUAGAUUAACCUUCAUAAGGAUCGCUCUAUACCAAAUAUUUGAAAGCCACGGAUGCACUAGAAUUGCAAAAAGAGGGACGAAAGAUACAAGAGGGAGAGUCAAACUCAUAGAUUGAAAAUAAACUGACAACACCAUGGCUAAAAAUAAAAAGACAAACAGACAAAUAAUAGUACAGAAGACACAACAUAGAAAACUAAAGACUAAGCAACACAAACCCCACCUAAAACUAGGGGUGAUCUCAGGUACUCCGGAAAGGUAAACAAAUCCUGCUCCUCAUGUUGAAAAGCUAUAUGAUCUAGACAAUUGUAAUGGCCUGACCAUUAAGUUUAACCGACGAUUGGGCUCAAGCAACAAGACUAUCAGGUGCUGAUAAUUUAUUCUUAAACCAAUCUAACAAAUGGUAAAAAGCUGAAAAACAAAUAAAAUACAAUUUUACAAUGUGUUCAAUUAAUGUUAUUAAAACGAAAUGUCAAAGGUAAUAGAUAGCACAGUCCGUUGAAUCCGAGAAAAUGUUGUACUUUCAAGAGCAGUUAAAUUUCCAGUGUUUCACGGAGAGAAUGUUCAAAUAUGUAUAGAGUAAUUUGAAGGCUUCAAAAACAAUGUUGUAAAGUUAACUCACUCUGUGGUUAGCCACGAAUUGUGUCCUAGAUGACGUUUGUCCUUUGAAAAGUUCUCCAGAACUGGUAUGACCUUGCAAUGUUCGGUUUGAGAUCCGUGUGAGCAGGGGAAAGGUAGCGAUGAUACGAUGUUUUAAUGUUCUUAUAAGGUUAAAGAUGAAUAAUCCUCCUAGACUGGAACACAUAAAUAGAUUAAGAAUAUAAUCAAACGAACUAUAUAAAUUACGGAACGGUGUAACAGAAUACUCCCCGUCUGAUGUCUAUCUGAUAUCACUUUUCCAUAAAUUUUUCGAAUAUGUAUACAAGAUUUCAACAAAUGAAUUAAUCCCAAUAUAAAUUGAAUAUAUACAGGUGAAUGGUCCACUAUUUCGUGUGAGAAAUAUCAGAUCUCAACGAUUUUUCACUAUAAAGGUUCCUAAUAAGUACGUUCCACGUGAAACUGGGUAGGCACAGUUUUUUGUCCUUUAGAAGAAGGGUGUCUCGGACGACAUUGUUGUGUUCUGUAGAAUGUUCUAUUACUGCUGUAUCGAUAAUGGGAACUGUUUUCUCCAACGUAGUUAGACGGCGAUGACGAUCGAAGAUAGAUCGAAGUAUAACAAGAGUUAGUAGUUGGUUGUCUUCCGAUUUGGCGAUAUGACACAUCUUUGUGAGUAUCAGACGAAAUUAGGCGUUUCGUCAUAACGUCCAAUCCUGCAGAUCUAGUCGCUCUAUCUGUAGAGUGGCGUCCUCUAUGUUUGAUUUUGUCGUAGUAAUGUCCAAGAAAAGGUGUUACUCUGUGACGAUGUCCAGAUAAGACUACUGGUUCCUUUUCACUUAUAUUCAAGUCAGAUUUGACAAUACUGCUUCCUCCUCGUAGUAGACGUUGCUCAUGCAAUGGCAGAUUGAGAUUGGCAAUAGGUCCUUCUUUCGGAAUAGGUUUGUGAAUGCUAUUGAUUUCCUCUCCAUGAACUUUAGGUUCUGUUGAUUUCGGAUUGAAACUUUCUUUAUCUAUAGAUUUUUCUAUAGAAGUCACAGAUUUUGCUUUUAGUGACGCGAGUGAUGUCCCUUUAGAUGAAUUUGUGUGCGUUUACCAGGCUUGGUACUAGGUCCUGUACAUUCAAGGGAUUGUAUUGAAUGCGAUUUAGCGACCUUGGCAUUCGAAUGAAAGUUUUGUCGUUAUACUGAACAACAAUUGGAUUCUUGUCCUUGACGGCUAUUUCCGGUCUUGAGGCAAGACGUUGUUCUGAUUCCGUGAUUGAAACGUUAGUUAUCUUUGUGUUGACUUGAAUAGGAGAAGUUUGCUUGUCAAUGUAUGUAUUUCCAAUUAUGACCCAACCAAGUCUCAACUUUUGGGCAAAUGGAGUUCGGGAUGGUCCUAGGCGUUGUUCAAGGACGUGGUGUGCCUCUAUAAGGUCCCUUCCAAUAAGGAGAAGAAUUUGACAACGUUCCUCUAUUGGUGGAAUGCUUCCUCUGAGUUCUUUCAGAUGAGGAUGAUGCAUUGCAACUUCAGGAGUAGGAAUUUCGUCUCGAUGAUUGGGAAUAUUAUUACAUUCAAUUAAUGUAGGCAGAUCAAAUUGUACGUCACUAUGUACAGAUUUUAUGACGAAAUCUUUUCCUCUUUUCCCGGAAGUAGCUACUCUGCCGGAGCAUGUCGUAAGAGAGUAGUUUUCAGGUUUCUCCCGAACGUUAAACAGACUGAAGAAUUCAGGCGAGGCAAGAGACCGGUUGCUUUGGUCGUCAAUAAUGGCGUACAUCCUGAUAAUUUUGUUUGUCUUGUCCUUGUGGUACACGUCCACAGGUAAUAUCUUGGCAUAAGAUUUCUCGCUCUUAUGAUCUUUGUAGAUCUCUGUGCAGAUCGAACUUACAGAGGUUAACUUUGUUUCAGCUGACUCUGUCUGCUCCCCGCCGUAGACUUGUGUUAGCUCCCGCCGUAGGCUUGUCUGGGUGAGCUAAACUGGGAACUUUCAGAUUGUUGUGGUCUAGUGAUGUGAAGUGCUGUGGUAUGUCGUUCACUUCCACACUCGUUACAACUGAUACUUGCGUUGCAGUCCCGACUUCUGUGUGUGGUUGACUCACAACACUUGUAGCACACAUUGUUUUGUCUUAACAGUUCCUUGCGUUCCUCGAUUGGUUUGGCUCGGAAUGCUCGGCAUUCAUUCAAGGUAUGCUUUGUCUUGUGUAGGAUACACAGAUUUUGUUGUUGACUGCUGUCUUCAGUUUGCUGUUCAACAGCCGUCUUAUGGACGUUGACUUUAGAGUACGUCUGAGGUGUGAACCUUGGCGUAGAGUCUUUUGUAUUUGGUGUUACUUUUGUCCCAAAGAUGAACCCAGGAUCGUUCUUAAUUUUGCUCAUUUCCCUGAUGAAGGCAGAGAAUUCUGUAAAAGGUGGAAAGGCAACUUCAUAUUUAGACUUGUAUCUUGAAGCCCUUGUUAUCCACUUUUCUUGGAGUCCGUAUGGUAGUUUUUCCACAAUAGGAUUUACCCCCUUUGACGAAGUCGAAGUAAGCUAGCAAACAUCCCAGCUUGGGAUUUUCCUUUGUGAUAUUCUAUUUCUGAGAUAAUGUCUGACAAAUCGUAAAGGACGUGAGUUGUCUUUAUUUGUCAAGUGUUGGAAAGUUGUCAAGUUUACUUGACGAGAGACGUCUGCAACAUUAUCUGGAGCACCAUAUCGCUCGUCCAGUCUUUCCCAUAAUCUGUGUAGGCCUCUUGUUGGGUUGUUGGCAUUUGAUGCCCUUAUACUCAUGGCAUGUUUACCAGACUCUGGUCCAAGCCACUUUAAUAAGUAGGUCUAUCUGUUCUGAGUCUGAAACUUGUAGUUCGUCUAUGACAUUUUUAAAGCUGGCUUUCCAUGUAUGAAAGGAUUCUGCCUGGUCGUUAAAGCUUGUUAGCCGGGAGAACAGCAAGGUCCUUUGCGUAAGGAGAAAUCUGGUUAUCUCUAACGUAGGGAUUGUUUUGUUGCUGGUAUGCUACAGGGUUCUCUUCUAUUACGCCUUGUUUUGGGUGUGAAACAGGGAUCUCUUCUAUGACGCCUUGAUUUUGGUGUAAGACAGGGAUCUUUUCUGAAACGCCCUGUUUUCCUAUGUUAGUUAUUGUUCCCAGAUCUGGGAAUGCAUUAACAUCUGGUGACUUAGCACGUGUAGGCAAGACCUUGGGUGUUUGUGAUGGCAAGUUCAGUGCCACAGAUGGCACGAACGCUGGUGCUUCAUGACUCAGCUCAAUUUUAACAGGAAUUUGUUUUUUCUUUUGAGGUCCUGUUACUUCCUUUACAGCAGUUGAUACAGGAAGUUUAUUGACGAAAUCUUGCACACGCUGGAGCGGGUCUUCCUUUUCGUCAGGGAGAUCGCUAAACGCUUGGCUGUCAUCGUAUUCCAGGAUACGAGCCUCGGCUUCUGCGGCUGCAGCUUCUCUCUGUGCUUCAAGAAGGUUAAAUUUGGCUUUAAGCUCGACCUUUUCCCGGCUUACUCGUGCGGCUUCUUGUUGCAUUUGAGCCUUACGUUGAGCGACUUCUUGUUCCAUUUCUGCCUUUUUACGUGUGGCUUCCUGUUCCAUUUCAAUUUGUCUGGACAGGGCUUGUUCCUCUAACAGUGCUUCCUGUUGUAGGAUAAGGGCAUGUUUUUUCUACAAAGGCUAUUUUAGACUUGGCAGCCUCUGCCUUGGCACGCUUUCUCCGUGCUAGGCUUGACAUGUCUGACACGUUAGAGCUACCACUGCGUGAGGUUUUCUUACCUUUUGACCCUGAGGUCCUUGUUUUAGUUGAUUUAGACUUAGUGAGGGCAAGGCGAUGCUCGUGUAAAGAGUCCAUGGCCAGUUCCACUUUGGACAGACGGAGAUCCAAUGUAAGGUUACAUGCGUCUAUGUCUUUUUGACUGUCCAACGUUCUGGUCCUUUUUAGAAAGUCCAGAUAUUCGUCUGUGAGCCUACGAUAAUUUGUACAGGCUUUUACAAGAUUUGUCCUGGGCUGUUAAGACUUGCUGAAGUUCAUUGGGAGGUGUGGUGAUUUCCGAAUAACUGGGUCGUUAUAUGUCUGACCAAAGGACCUCUAAUUCCUCACAGAACUUGUUACGUCUUUUCUGUGUAGGCUCCUUUACCUUUUUCGGUGAGAUCCCGUACUCGCCUAGUCUCGGGAUUUUCAUCUAAAUGUGUGGUAUUAGACGGAUUUUGUAAUAGUUCUAGAUCUGGGACAUUUCCUUCUUGGGGCUGAAUCUCUUCUUGUUGCUCCACAUGACUGGGAUCCAUGUUGACUCAACGUUGUUGGGUUGCUGCCGAGUACACACAAGUUAUGUAGUCCACUGUCAGUGUAAAGGUAUGAACGUUGCUACGUUGUCGUUCCUUGUCUGGAUAUGUAAAGACAGGUUGUCGUCAAUUUACUGUACGUCAAGGGAUGACGCGUACAUGCAGGGCUCAACAGGUAGGUUGCUGUGUAGCUGUGGAGUGGCGUUAUCUGUGAGACACAACAGGCAAGUUGUAGACUUUUUACUGUAAUGGCCUGACCAUUAAGUUUAACCGACGAUUGGGCUCAAGCAGAAAAGACUAUCAGGUGCUGAUACUUUAUUCUUAAACCAAUCUAACAAAUGGUAAAAAGCUGAAAAACAAAUAAAAUACAAUUUUACAAUGUGUUCAAUUAAUGUUAUUAAAACGAAAUGUCAAAGGUAAUAGAUAGCACAGUCCGUUGAAUCCGAGAAAAUGUUGUACUUUCAAGAGCAGUUAAAUUUCCAGUGUUUCACGGAGAGAAUGUUCAAAUAUGUAUAGAGUAAUUUGAAGGCUUCAAAAACAAUGUUGUAAAGUUAACUCACUCUGUGGUUAGCCACGAAUUGUGUCCUAGAUGACGUUUGUCCUUUGAAAAGUUCUCCAGAACUGGUAUGACCUUGCAAUGUUCGGUUUGAGAUCCGUGUGAGCAGGGGAAAGGUAGCGAUGAUACGAUGUUUUAAUGUUCUUAUAAGGUUAAAGAUGAAUAAUCCUCCUAGACUGGAACACAUAAAUAGAUUAAGAAUAUAAUCAAACGAACUAUAUAAAUUACGGAACGGUGUAACAGAAUAACAAUCCUUAAAAUUAGCUAUUCAAGGUACUUUUUGCCCUGAAGGAACUGAAAACGGAUAAUUUGAUAAGGCUAGUAAUAAAUCAUGUCAUUACCGAAGGACUGAACUCUAAGCUGGAAACAACUCUAUAAGGAAACUAUGGUGAAUUCGCUAAAGUGGCUUAUAAUACUUGUCGUUUCUAAUGUAUAAUAAUCAUCAUUACCUUUUAUAGUUUUCAUGAAAAAAAUAUUAAAAAAAACAUUUGGCGGAAUUUAGAAAAAAUAAUUUCAGUGACAAUAACUCUUUUAUGGAUUGUCUGAUUACUCUGUUGAUUCAACAAAGUGAUAGGUCUUGGUUUGCUGAUAGAUUUAACUAUUUUAGAUUUGUUGUUUCUGACUUGUAUAAGAUUUGUAACUCUGGUGAUACAAUAUCAAUUACGAACUUUCUGAUGCCACAUAUGUUGAUACAUUUUGAAAUACUAGACAUCUAAAUAUCAAAAGCUGUUUUUAAGGAUGUACUUAGGGGAAAUUUAAAAAAUCAACAAAUUAAAAUUGAUACUAUAUAUCGAAAGAGCAUCAGUAAAAGAAAAAAAUAUGCUAAAAAUAUUGACGUGUCAUGGAGCUCCUUUUCGAGAUAUUUGAGUUUUUAUAAAUGGCGGGAAAAACUGACUGAGACUUUUACUUUACAUUUGCAUUGGUAUUAUUUGGGUCUCAAAUCAAAAGAACAAAAAUCAAGAAUCUGCUUUAAUUUUGGAAAAUGGCCUUUUAUGAGCUAUUAAAGUUUUCUAUGAAAAGAAAAAUGGGUGUUAUGGGGCAAACUAUUUUACCCUGUAUUGAUGGAAAAAAAAAAACAAGAAGUCCGAACGUUUGACACCAAUUUCCAAAACCUCACCUAAGUACAUCCUUAAGACUAUAUAUUUUUUCAUAGGUAGUUGUAUGGAAAAUUCAAGAAAUGCAACCAAACCUAAAGUAAUCUACAAAGUUAACAACAUAAAAAUUCCAGAAAACCGUACAACAGGCUGUUCAGAUAACGAAAUACAAACAUUAGAUUGUUUGAAUGGCGGAGUUUGCUUUACCGUUGAUGAAUUUGAUAGAAUAGUGCUAUGUGCGUGAGUAUCUGAUAGAAAAUUGCUCUGUGCGUGAAUCAUUAUUUUAUAUAUGAUUGAUAUUGUAUAAAUACCUAAUAUCUUGCAGUUUUGAAAGUUGAUACAUAUAUUUUCCACUACACAUUAUAAAUAAUAAUUUAACAUUUUUCCCUGUGCAUUGUACUUGUGAAGAUACGGACAUUUCAUCAUUAUUUUUUCCACACGGAUAACCUUACAAUACUUGUUUUAAACAUUAGGUUCAGUAGUGUUGUAUCAGAAAGGGUCACAUACGGGCUAAUUUGGGACAUUUUAAAACGUUUUCUAUUAAAUGAUUAUUUUGUAGUUCAUAGAAAUUAGGUUUCAUUCAUCAGGCUAAUUUUAAGAAGGUGAUUCUUCUUUUACAACUUGAUAACACUAUUCUUAUUAUAUUGUUAACUGGAAUGGCGUUGAUAUUUACUUAUUGGACAAACCCGCAACUUCGAGUCAUUAAACUUACAUCUAAGAUAAAUUUCUUGUUGCAGAUGCUACAAACAUUAUAUUGGUAGCCGCUGUCAAAUGAUAAACCCCAACAUAACAUUAAAACAAUUUGAAGGUACGACUCACUUUAACUUAUAACUGUAAACUAUAUAUGUAUAUUAAAAUAUAGUAAAGACAGUAGAAAAAACCGACAAGUAAGAAUAAUCGACAAUAUGAUAUGAUAUCAUUUAUUCGUAUAUCAUCUCCUUUUAUAAGUACAUAUGUACAAAUCGUUAGGUUAUUUCACAUGCACAGAAUUAUAUGUUUAAAAAAUAUUGUAAGUGUUUUAAAGUGUCUUUUAGUUUCUAAGAACCUAUUGAAUAGUUUCAUGCGUCUAUAUAAUUUGAAAUUGAAAUACGCAAAACCGAUAACUCUUCUGUUUAUUCUUAUUUAAAAACCUUGUACUCAAGUUAUCAGUGAUAUCUAUAACGAAAAAAACCUGCUGUUUUGUCAAUAUUUCCAUUCAUGUUAUCGUAUUCAUACCAUAUUGACCGGAAUGAAUAUUCACAAUUAAAGCUGAUGAAAGAGUUGGGAUGCUGAGACUUGAUGUUUAAACAGUGUACCCUAUACAACUUAUUGAUUUUAGUAUGCAUAAAUACGUUUGUCGAUACAAAACUACGAGGGAAAAACAAAACGGGAUUGAAAUUAUCCAAUGUGUAUGCAAACAUUACCUGAUUUUACUGACCAUUUUGAGUUCAAUACAAUCAAAACUUACGUUACUCCAUCAGUGCAGGAGAAUGAGAGAACAAGCGCCAUUGGAAAAUUCAAAAUGCAGUGGCCAGCAACGAAAAACAAAUGAAAAACCAAUUGAAAAAGCUUAAUUUAAUUCGAUUUAAGAAGAAUUUUCAGUAAAAGUAUGUGGUGAUACUAAAUGCGGUGAAUAUCCAAAAUGAUACAAUUUUCUAGAAACUGAUAGGCCGAUAAGUUUUCCAAAUUCAAAAACAUUUGACAUAUUAGUAAUCCAAUCUUAUAUAUUGUAUCACGUAUGUAAAUUGCCAAAAAUAUGAUAAAGGACAGAACAGUUACAUUAUUUAUGAAAUGGUUUGUGUCCACUAGCUAGGAAAACAUGAAACAUCCACCAUAUCGGAAAUUUUUACCAUAUAUAUUUAAAUAAUUCCUAAAAAAAAUAACGAGAUUCAAUUAGAUACUUAUAGAUUUUUCUUCAUUGCAUUUUGAUUGUUUGAACAGAGAAGAAAGAUGGCAGAAAUAGACUCAUUCCAGGUAUUACAGCAUCAGUCGUCGCUGUAUUUAUUUUUGUUAUGAUAGUUAUAGCCAUACGACGAAUUGAGGGAAAGUAGG
rnacentral:lncRNA from 1 species